CCACCUGGCAUCGCAGUGGAAAACGUCAUCAUCCCCGCACUGUUGAGUGCCCCAGGCAUUUCCCAUGCCAACCUGUGCCAGGCUUGGGACACUUGGGUUCCACCCAGGCCUGGGCUGUCUCCCAAAUCUCAGGCUCUGCUGACCCUGGCUCAAGGGGCCUGUGUGUCCCAUCGAGACCCUGCCCACCCCCUCCCCCCCGGGAGGCCAAGCUGCUCACAGGAGCUCACAAGAGGUGCAGGGACUUGCAGGGUGAGCGGCAGCCGUGGGAAUCGUGGGAUUCGCUGGACCCCACAUCUGGCCUCUGUCCUACACACAUCACAGGUUACCUCACUGGGGGCCUUGGGCCUGUCUGUGUCUGUCAGUCCCAAACAGACUCCUCUUUGGGAUUUCAUGGUCAGGCCAGGUCAGCCUGGGGUGGACCCUUCCUACAGCGUUUCCCAUACCAGCCAAUGACCGGAGUCAGGGAGGGAAGGCAACAGAGUGGGUGCUACCUGAAGAUGGGGUGCUCUUGCUGAGGGGCAUCGGCUGAGAGGUUCCUGCCUCUGGGGUCUGUGCUGUGCCCCCACCGGGUGUGGCUGGUUGGUGGGAGGUGCUGGUUCCCAUACUGGGGGGCAUCGGCUGAGAGGUUCCUGGCUUUGGGGUCUGUGCUGUGUCCCCACCGGGAGUGGCUGGUUGGUGGGAGGUGCUGUUUUCUGCACCCGGGGGCCCCCCGGGUGUGGACGAGGUUGGUGGCCUCAGAGUUGUGCCAGAGGGUGGAUGAGGGCCUGUGCCUCCCCCAGAGCUGGUCGUGGAGGGUCCCUGGGAGGGCUCAGGGGGUCUGGGGACCUCGGAAGUGGUGCUGGCCCAGGGACCCAGCCAGCUCUGCCCAAGGUGGGGAUGGAGACAGGGACAGAGGGGGUACAGGGCAUUGUUGAG
rnacentral:lncRNA from 1 species